UUGACCUCGGAUCAGGUAGGAAUACCCGCUGAACUUAAGCAUAUCAAUAAGCGGAGGAAAAGAAACCAACUGGGAUUGCCUUAGUAACGGCGAGUGAAGCGGCAACAGCUCAAAUUUGAAAUCUGGCCCUCGCGGGUCCGAGUUGUAAUUUGGAGAGGAUGUUUUGGGCACCGCGGCGGUGUAAAUUUCUUGGAACAGGAUGUCAGAGAGGGUGAGAAUCCCGUCUUGAACCGCCGUAGGACCCGUGUAAAACUCCUUCGACGAGUCGACUUGUUUGGGAAUGCAGGUCAAAAUGGGUGGUAAAUUUCAUCUAAAGCUAAAUAUUGGCCAGAGACCGAUAGCGCACAAGUAGAGUGAUCGAAAGAUGAAAAGCACUUUGAAAAGAGAGUUAAACAGUAUGUGAAAUUGUUGAAAGGGAAGCGCUGGCAACCAGACUCGCGCGCGGGGUUCCCCCUAGCUUCUGCCUGGGUUACUUCCCCGUGUCCGGGCCAUCAUCAGUUUUGGGGGCCGGUUAAAGGUCUCGGGAAUGUAUCCUCCCUUUCGGGGGAGGACUUAUAGCCCGGGGCGUCAUGCGGCCUCCCGGGACUGAGGAACGCGCUUCGGCGAGGAUGAUGGCGUAAUGGUUGUCAGCGACCCGUCUUGAAACACGGACCAAGGAGUCUAACAUCUAUGCGAGUGUUCGGGUGUCAAACCCUGGCGCGGAAUGAAAGUGAACGGAGGUAGGAAGGCCUGAGCCUGCACUAUCGACCGAUCCUGAUGUCUUCGGAUGGAUUUGAGUAAGAGCAUAGCUGUUGGGACCCGAAAGAUGGUGAACUAUGCGUGAAUAGGGUGAAGCCAGAGGAAACUCUGGUGGAGGCUCGCAGCGGUUCUGACGUGCAAAUCGAUCGUCAAAUUUGCGUAUAGGGGCGAAAGACUAAUCGAACUAUCUGGUAGCUGGUUCCUGC
rnacentral:rRNA from 1 species